GAUGAACGCUGGCGGCGUGCCUAAUACAUGCAAGUCGAGCGAACGGACGAGAAGCUUGCUUUUCUGAUGUUAGCGGCGGACGGGUGAGUAACACGUGGAUAACCUACCUAUAAGACUGGGAUAACUUCGGGAAACCGGAGCUAAUACCGGAUAAUAUUUUGAACCGCAUGGUUCAAAAGUGAAAGACGGUCUUGCUGUCACUUAUAGAUGGAUCCGCGCUGCAUUAGCUAGUUGGUAAGGUAACGGCUUACCAAGGCAACGAUGCAUAGCCGACCUGAGAGGGUGAUCGGCCACACUGGAACUGAGACACGGUCCAGACUCCUACGGGAGGCAGCAGUAGGGAAUCCUCCGCAAAGGGCGAAAGCCUGACGGAGCAACGCCGCGUGAGUGAUGAAGGUCUUCGGAUCGUAAAACUCUGUUAUUAGGGAAGAACAUAUGUGUAAGUAACUGUGCACAUCUUGACGGUACCUAAUCAGAAAGCCACGGCUAACUACGUG
rnacentral:rRNA from 1 species